GCGGUGGAGCAUGUGGUUUAAUUUCGAUGCAACGCGAAGAACCUUACCUACUCUUGACAUCCAGAGAAUUUGCUAGAGAUAGCUUAGUGCCUUCGGGAACUCUGAGACAGGUGCUGCAUGGCUGUCGUCAGCUCGUGUUGUGAAAUGUUGGGUUAAGUCCCGCAACGAGCGCAACCCUUAUCCUUUGUUGCCAGCGAGUAAUGUCGGGAACUCAAAGGAGACUGCCGGUGAUAAACCGGAGGAAGGUGGGGAUGACGUCAAGUCAUCAUGGCCCUUACGAGUAGGGCUACACACGUGCUACAAUGGCAUAUACAAAGAGAAGCGAACUCGCGAGAGCAAGCGGACCUCAUAAAGUAUGUCGUAGUCCGGAUUGGAGUCUGCAACUCGACUCCAUGAAGUCGGAAUCGCUAGUAAUCGUAGAUCAGAAUGCUACGGUGAAUACGUUCCCGGGCCUU
rnacentral:rRNA from 1 species